rnacentral:rRNA from 1 species
UACGAAGGGGACUAGCGUUGUUCGGAAUCACUGGGCGUAAAGCGCACGUAGGCGGAUGUGUCAGUCAGGGGUGAAAUCCCGGGGCUCAACCUCGGAACUGCCUUUGAUACAGCACGUCUCGAGUCCGGAAGAGGUGGGUGGAAUUCCUAGUGUAGAGGUGAAAUUCGUAGAUAUUCGGAAGAACACCAGUGGCGAAGGCGGCUCACUGGCCCGGUACUGACGCUGAGGUGCGAAAGCGUGGGGAGCAAACAGGG